rnacentral:rRNA from 1 species
CUACGGGGGGCUGCAGUGGGGAAUCUUAGACAAUGGGGGAAACCCUGAUCUAGCCAUGCCGCGUGAGCGAUGAAGGCCUUAGGGUUGUAAAGCUCUUUCGUGGGGGAAGAUAAUGACUGUACCCCAAGAAGAAGCCCCGGCUAACUCCGUGCCAGCAGCCGCGGUAAUACGGAGGGGGCUAGCGUUGUUCGGAAUUACUGGGCGUAAAGCGCACGUAGGCGGACUGGAAAGUCAGGGGUGAAAUCCCGGGGCUCAACCCCGGAACUGCCUUUGAAACUCCCGGUCUUGAGGUCGAGAGAGGUGAGUGGAAUUCCGAGUGUAGAGGUGAAAUUCGUAGAUAUUCGGAGGAACACCAGUGGCGAAGGCGGCUCACUGGCUCGAUACUGACGCUGAGGUGCGAAAGCGUGGGGAGCAAACAGGAUUAGAUACCCGGGUAGUC